rnacentral:rRNA from 1 species
AACGAACGCUGGCGGCAUGCCUAACACAUGCAAGUCGAACGAGACCUUCGGGUCUAGUGGCGCACGGGUGCGUAACGCGUGGGAACCUGCCCUUAGGUUCGGAAUAACUCCCCGAAAGGGGUGCUAAUACCGGAUAAUGUCUUCGGACCAAAGAUUUAUCGCCUUUGGAUGGGCCCGCGUUGGAUUAGCUGGUUGGUAGGGUAAAAGCCUACCAAGGCGACGAUCCAUAGCUGGGCUGAGAGGAUGAUCAGCCACACUGGGACUGAGACACGGCCCAGACUCCUACGGGAGGCAGCAGUGGGGAAUAUUGGACAAUGGGCUAAAGGCUGAUCCAGCAAUGCCGCGUAAGUGAUGAAGGCCUUAGGGUUGUAAAGCUCUUUUACCCGGGAUGAUAAUGACAGUACCGGGAGAAUAAGCUCCGGCUAACUCCGUG